UCAUAGUGAUCCGGUGGUUCUGAAUGGAAGGGCCAUCGCUCAACGGAUAAAAGGUACUCCGGGGAUAACAGGCUGAUACCGCCCAAGAGUUCAUAUCGACGGCGGUGUUUGGCACCUCGAUGUCGGCUCAUCACAUCCUGGGGCUGAAGUAGGUCCCAAGGGUAUGGCUGUUCGCCAUUUAAAGUGGUACGCGAGCUGGGUUUAGAACGUCGUGAGACAGUUCGGUCCCUAUCUGCCGUGGGCGCUGGAGAACUGAGGGGGGCUGCUCCUAGUACGAGAGGACCGGAGUGGACGCAUCACUGGUGUUCGGGUUGUCAUGCCAAUGGCACUGCCCGGUAGCUAAAUGCGGAAGAGAUAAGUGCUGAAAGCAUCUAAGCACGAAACUUGCCCCGAGAUGAGUUCUCCCUGACUCCUUGAGAGUCCUGAAGGAACGUUGAAGACGACGACGUUGAUAGGCCGGGUGUGUAAGC
rnacentral:rRNA from 1 species